rnacentral:sRNA from 2 species
UGAUAGCCUUCUCUUGAUAGCCUAAGUCGGGCCCCCUUCCCCAUCACACAUUCCCAACGACAGCUCCCCAGCAGGAGAAGUGACCAAUAUCAGAAUACCGGCUCGAAACACCGGCUCAAAUGGCAAAUCCGGGAACCCAUGGUUGUUCUUAUCUCUGUUAAAGCUCAUUUUGGCCAGCGAAGUUGUUGUUGUAGCCGACAAAGCGUUGUCCUCUGAUUUAACUCUCUUUUUGGCCAGACCGUCGGAUAGGGAUGUGGAUUUGAGUUGUUCGCUGAGACUUUCAGACGCUGAUGUAAGCCUGCUUUUGAGGUUGUUACGUCUGCGAUAUUGGAGGAGGCUCAUCCUUCGCCUUAUCUUGGAUCUGCCCGUAACUGAUAAUCUAGCGGGUUCAAGAACUUUUGAGAGAUCUGAAGGGGAGCCACCCGAUGGUCGCGGAGCUGGCGAAGCCAUAUUCGAUAGCAGAAGAGCAGUUAUAGGAGACCCUCUGGCAAAUUGCAAAUAUUUUGGACAUUGAUUCAAUAGGGGUUGAGCGAAGCGAGUGUUGGUUUGAAAGGCUAAAUUUUACACACUCAAUCCCGAAUUAUAUUGUAGAAAGAAGAUGACGCCAUCGGGCGAUGCAUUCAAAACAAUAAUAGGAAUAAUGGACAGGUGAGAAAAGUGACAAAAUUCUACAGAUUAUAUUCCUCUUAAAAGGGAGUGGCCUACGUAUACGGCGGAUCAAAACGAUAACGGAACGAUUUGGAGGAAAGAUCAUUGAUUCCUGUUCAAAUGUAUGGAACGGUGAUUGAGCCAAGCAAGUAGAGAAACUAGAUAUAGAAGAACAGUUUUCGUGGUUGUAUUAUUAAAUUUUGCCAUCAUCUAGUUCAAUUCACGGGAAAGAACAGGCUUCAGCAGGGCGGUGGUAACCUAAAUUGCGAGAAGGAUCGAUGGAUUCAUGCAAUUGGGUAGAUUUGGGAAUCGCGGAUCCAAACAAAUUGGAAGG